rnacentral:rRNA from 1 species
CCUACGGGUCGCACCAGUAGGGAAUCUUCGGCAAUGGACGAAAGUCUGACCGAGCAACCCCGCGUGAGUGAAGAAGGUUUUCGGAUCGUAAAACUCUGUUGGUAGAGAAGAACGUUGGUGAGAGUGGAAAGCUCAUCAAGUGACGGUAACUACCCAGAAAGGGACGGCUAACUACGUGCCAGCAGCCGCGGUAAUACGUAGGUCCCGAGCGUUGUCCGGAUUUAUUGGGCGUAAAGCGAGCGCAGGUGGUUUAUUAAGUCUGGUGUAGAAGGCAGUGGCUCGACCAUUGUAUGCAUUGGAAACUGGUAGACUUGAGUGCAGGAGAGGAGAGUGGAAUUCCAUGUGAAGCGGUGAAAUGCGUAGAUAUAUGGAGGAACACCGGUGGCGAAAGCGGCUCUCUGGCCUGUAACUGACACUGAGGCUCGAAAGCGUGGGGAGCAAACAGGAUUAGAUACCCGUGUAGUC